rnacentral:rRNA from 1 species
CCCCUAGAUGUUCUGGGCCGCACGCGCGCUACACUGAACAGUUCAACAAGUCUUAACCUUGGCCGAUAGGUCUGGGUAAUCUUUGAACGCUGUUCGUGAUUGGGAUAGACCUUUGCAAUUAUGGGUCUUCAACGAGGAAUUCCUAGUAAACGCAAGCCAUCAGCUUGCAUUGAUUACGUCCCUGCCCUUUGUACACACCGCCCGUCGCACCUACCGAUUGAAUGGUCCGGUGAAAUCUCGGGACGGCGGCUCGGUCGCUUGCGUCCGACUGCUGAAACUUGAUUAAACCAUAUCAUUUAGAGGAAGGUGAAGUCGUANCA